CGUCGGUCCCUUGGCGUCGCUAGGCAGCGGGGGCGGGGCCUCCUGGGCGCCGCCAUGUUUGCCCGGCGCUCCCUUGUUGGGAAGGAGGCGCGUAGUGAUGGCGGGAAAGAUGGAGUUCUUUCCCGAAACGGCUCUCGGACAGAUUCGGGGUGUGGGUCUACGGCUGCUCGGCCACGCGCGCCUGCAGGAGCGCACGUGUUCCAGGGGAUCGACAAGCGUCCCCGGUCAGCACUGACUGAGGAGAGCGUGGCCACAAGAGCGCUGCAGGAGGCGGUGCGCGCCGAGCCUCCCUUCAGCCUGGAGGGCAGCGUUACCGCGCCUGCCCGCCACCCUUCAGCGCCGCUGUUGUACGGACGAGUGGAAACGAAUGUAUCCCUCAUCCAGAUCCGCACUGUGGAGUUUGACCAAGAAGUUAAAAUACGUUCAGUUCUGUGUUUUUGUUUCUAUGUAGAAUCGUCUCGAGGCGCAGAAAUCGAGAGAGAUCAACGCUCCGUUUUGGUAUGGGAAAGCCGAGUGCAAAUUUGAAGGGUGUAUUUCAUUACUGAUGAGAUCAAAGAUAGGCCAGGAAGGCGUGAUCCACGUGUGAAAAUGGAAAUUCAAGUGAACGAAACACAACACAAAGCCGGUGAAUUGAACAAAGGCAUACGUGCCAGCAAGAAAGACAAGAAUUAAGGGGAGACCUGAAGGCAGACGCACCACGCCAGCUGAGAAAUAAGUUGCUACGUCCGUCUGACCCUGCCAUACUGUUGGCUGGUAACUUGCGUGAAGUAAAAACUGGCAUUGUUUUGCAAAAAACAGCUGGUGAGGGUAACCGUGAGGGAAGAACUGACCCUAACAUUACAUCUGGAUUGCCUCAACAUCCGAGGAACGCCAGAUGCCACUGCAAACAUGACGUAGAAACUGCACACACCUCCUUGCAGUACUUCACUGUGUCACCUUUCAUGCUGUACGUGCAUGUCAACCUUCACCUACUUUUUGAUUUUCAGAGAGCAAAGCUGUAGCCUAUACCUUGAUGCCUCGGGUCUGUUGUUAAGAGAACCCCAUCAUGUGUGGUUCUCUUAAAACAUCACAUCUUGCAUUAUGCAUCGUGUGCAAAGUGCCUGUCCAACUCAACAAACAUCCUGCCAGUGGCAGAGAUGCUAAUUGCUGACCAGAGUACACCAACCAUAUCACAUUGACUGACUUUGCUUUCUCAAGAUACUCUUAGAGUAACUGGUCAUCAGCUUAGACCACAAAAAGUAGAGUGCAGCUUCAGCUGGGCUUUAAUACAUGCAGCUAUUCAGGUUUUCAACUGGAUGACUGCCAUACAUUACUUGAAUGCCUGUUUUGAAGUAUGUACUGGGAAAAGGAAAGCUGAUUUUACAAUUUUGCACAUGUGUGCCUCACAUAUAGUCAAAAUAAUCCAUGGGCAUGUAUCCAAAGUUGCUGUUUCUAAAGAUGUCAAGGAGUUUUUCUGUGCUCAUUUGUCUUACUGCAAAAUGCAAAAACGAUAUACGAGUAUAGGAAAGUAAUUCAGAAGUUCUGCAUAAUUUUCAGUGCAUCACAUCUCGACGCACAAUGCAGGGAGAGAGGUAAGAUGAAAAGAGGUAAAGAAAUGGAUACAAACCCAGCCGAUCUCUAAAACUAUUCUAUCCUUUAACCAGAAAACUGUGAUUGAUCAGAAACAGGAAUCAAUCUGUAAAAAUUCUCCUUUUGCUCAAUUGUUCAUCGCGCAGUUUGGAUAAAAACGAUCAGGAGAAUAAGAAAUCCUCUGAACAGCUAUUAUUCUACUGAAUUGCAAAAACCUUAGUCAAAUAUGUGCCAACAUAACAUUAUGGAGUGGCAUUAUGUUACAAGCAAUAAAAUGGCCACAAACUGGGGACUGCAAUGCAAAUGUUGCAAAUUGGUUCAGAAUUGUCAAAAAUCUGGUUUUGACGGACAAGCUCUACUGCAGAACUCCUAACUUUGUAGAAGUUAUGAAAGACACCGUUCAAGGUAAGAUGCGUUCAAUAGCAAUAGGCAGACAAGGUUCCUUGGGUGAAUUUGAUAUCUUUUAUUCGACCAACCCAAAUGGUUGGAGAAUAGUUAUUAAGCAAGCUUUCGGGUUCAAAAACCCUUCAUCAGGCUAAGGAAGCUUCAGCAGUUGGUGUGUGCUCUUCAAUAGCAAUAGGCAUUUUACCCGACUGAAGCAUAAACGAUAAAUCUAAGAGGAAAAUAACCGACUGUGUUGCUAAUCAAAGCAUUUCAGAGCCUCUUGCUCGCUUGGAAACAUGGAAUGACGGUCCCUGUUCCACACUGAAGCAGCAAGCUAAGUAUUCUCAGGCUCCUUCAGAACAGGAACACAAAUAACGGUUGCCUUGUCUUCCUUGGAGUGCUGGCAUCCAAAUCAAACAGAAGGGUGCAAUUCACCAACACUUGCACCAUUGACAACCUUUGAUAUAUCAUUUAUUUGAUAUUUAAAAAAUACCAGGCAAUAAAAACUGAGUUUGAACUUCUCCAAAGAAGUGAUGUAUUCCAAUGUCUUCUCUGAGUGAAUGAGGCAUUUAGCAGCAACAACUGAAAUGAAGGGAAAUGGCAGUGGUUGACAGUUUCAAAAAUUUUCAGGAAGGCGCACAUGGGAUUGCUAUGGAACUGAGGAAAUUAUGGUGACACUUCCACUCUCUGAUCUCUAUAGCACAGCGCAGUUCUCCGUUUGCUCCAACUCAGAAUGUCCACAGAAGAACAGGACAUUGAAAUCAGCAUCAAUUUUUGCAUGCUUAGAUGAUGUCAGCAAACUUCAGAAUCUCCUUGUUCCAUGGCUGAAAGAUGGAAGAUACCCCUACCCCAUGCCAAGUUGGGUUCAAGGGUGACUUUGUCAAAGGUAACAAGUGCAGAGGAACACGGAAAUUGAGUUAAACAUCAAUUCAUUAACGAAAAACCAUGCAUCUUACUCAUAACACUUGCAGCAGAUCUGGCUCAGAGAAGAAUUGAAAAAUGUGAUCUCUUUCCACCCCUGAUUUCUAUAUGUGGCAUUAAGUACAAAGUGGCUGGGGUAAAGUACAAUAUUGGCAAACAUUUGAUGUGUUUCUGUGAACUUGGUGAUAGUGAGAGCUGGCAGUACUACGAUGGACUUUUAGAAUAUAAAAAGGUCGGAUGUGAAGAUACACCAGCAACUGAAGAAGAGUUCUCCGAAGCUCUUAGGAAGGAAAGUGUAUCAAGCCAUGUUGUUGCUGUAUGAACAUUUUAGAAAUAAUAAGGACAUCUGCAAGGAUAGACAUGGGUACUGAAAUACAUACCAAAGUGUAACAGGGCACCCCCAAAAAAUGUGUAAUACCCUGUUCUGAGGCCAGUUCUCCCUGCUUUUUCCCACUGUGCCUUGAUGUUCAUAUAUAAAUAAAUAUUGCAGGAGGGUA